AACCAAGUAUUAAUGUUGCUGAAGAAUGAGUUAAUUUCAGCCUCCCUGUCAGAAUGCUACACCAGACUUCUUCAACAAGUCUUGGAAUGGAAAGCAUCAUUACAAGCAUAACUUUGACUGACCAAGCCAGUCAUCUGGGUCUCCAUGGAGAGGUACUACUGAGGGUAGAUACUUGGAUGUUUCAGAGAUGCAAAUUAUUCUUCUUUGGGUGGAAAAAAAGAAUUGUCCAGUUAAUAUGGCUUGAGAAACUGAUGAGAAGCUUUCAAGUUUGUGGAAACACAGUUUGGGGCUUUGCUUUUCCUGGAGAUUUUACAUCCUUCAAUUUUCAAAAAGCUGUAGGCAUUAGAGGAAAAAGAUCACAUAUGCGUCAUUCUCUCCACAAGUUCUAGUCGUCAGUGCCAACAGAUAUACUUUAUAGAUGUCUGGCUUUGGUUUCAGCAUCAUAACCAGAUGGCAGUGAAUCAUGCUUUAUAAUUUAUUUAAAAGGUUAGAAAUAAAUACUUUUGUCUGGCUCCUUCCCUCUUGCUU
rnacentral:lncRNA from 1 species